rnacentral:lncRNA from 1 species
AGCGCACCAGGGAAAGCCAUUCGGAAAGAGGAAUUAAGAGGCUGGUUUGACACGGGUCUUGGGUCAAGGUCAGGGAGGAGCCCAAGCACUGUCUCAAGGACAUGAAGAGCAGUCAUGGCAGGACGGAGUCAAAGAUCACCGACUCCGUCACCAGGUGCUUACGGAGCACGUCCUACAGACCAGACACGAGGAACACGACAGAACAGGGAGGCUCCACACCCAGCAUGAAGCCCAAUGUGGAGCCCCACAGGCUCACACCAAGAUCAAGAGUUGGACACCCAACCGACUGAGCCAUCCAGGUAACCCCAUUUGUUAUUUUUAAGUUUAACAAUAAUAAUCAUGGUUAUGAUAU